rnacentral:rRNA from 1 species
UACAGAGACUGCAAGCGUUAUUCGGAUUCACUGGGCGGAAAGGGUGCGCAGGUGGCCAAGUGUGUCAGGUGUGAAAUCCCGGAGCUUAACUCCGGAACUGCGCCUGAAACUGCAUGGCUAGAGCAUUGGAGAGGGAAGUGGAAUUCACGGUGUAGCAGUGAAAUGCGUAGAUAUCGUGAGGAACACCAGAGGCGAAGGCGACUUCCUGGACAAUUGCUGACACUCAGGCACGAAAGCGUGGGUAGCCAAAGGG